rnacentral:rRNA from 1 species
CUACGGGUGGCACCAGUGGGGAAUAUUGCACAAUGGACGAAAGUCUGAUGCAGCAACGCCGCGUGGAGGAUGACACAUUUCGGUGCGUAAACUCCUUUUAUAUAGGAAGAUAAUGACGGUACUAUAUGAAUAAGCACCGGCUAACUCCGUGCCAGCAGCCGCGGUAAUACGGAGGGUGCAAGCGUUACUCGGAAUUACUGGGCGUAAAGAGCGUGUAGGCGGGUUUGUAAGUUGGAUGUGAAAUCCUAUGGCUCAACCAUAGAACUGCAUCCAAAACUGCUUACCUAGAAUAUGGGAGAGGUAGAUGGAAUUUCUGGUGUAGGGGUAAAAUCCGUAGAGAUCAGAAGGAAUACCGAUUGCGAAGGCGAUCUACUGGAACAUUAUUGACGCUGAGACGCGAAAGCGUGGGGAGCAAACAGGAUUAGAUACCCGCGUAGUC